UCCCUGGUGGCUCAGAUGGUAAAGAAUCUGCCUGCAAUGCAGAAGACCUGGGUUUGAUCCCUGGGUUGGGAA
rnacentral:tRNA from 1 species